rnacentral:lncRNA from 1 species
UCAGGAAUUACAAUUUUAUUCUGGAAAUACAGAAUAAGUAACAUGUAGGAAAAUAAAACUGUGGUCAGAUAUAAAUGAUGAAAUUUAUGGCAACUUGUAAUACUACAAUGCUUCAACAUAAACAAAUAUCAACAAAGAAUAUUUAAUGAAUAAAAUAUGCAUUAAUGAUAAAUACAAAGCAAUUACAAAUUUAACAUUUAUAAUGAAACUUUCCACCAUAACUAUGUUUAAUCACAACAGAAUUUAAACAACCUUUUUAACUUUCAAGGAACUGAAACAAAAGUAAUACCUUUCCUGUCUAUUCCAUUUUUUUCUUCAUGACUUUAAGAAAGAAGAAAUUGACAUAUCUGUCAUUAAACUUUUUGUAUAACAAGCUGGUGUAGAAAUCAUUGAAAUAAAACUUAACAGGUACUAAUUUAAAAAUGCAAAAAAUGAGUAUUAUUAUCAGAUAUAGUAUUACAAAUACAAUCUAUAAUUUUUCUUAGUUUGGUUGUAUGUUGAGAAGUUUUUUUAUUCAUUAUUUCUUCCUAAGAAAACUAUUGGUGAGAUAGACCGAACAUAACUAUUCCACUGACCAUUCUCAACAACUUUCCUGAUGUGACAGAUCAAAUUAUUAUCCUGCAUGCAGGUCAAAUGAUAAGUUUUACUCUUUUAUGGUAAAAAAUUAUGGAAGAAAAUUAUUUAUGAUAAAGCAUAAUAUUCCUUUUGUAGUCUGCAAAAUUUGUGAGUUCAUAGGUGAUCAGAUAUUCAACAUUUUGUUAGACAUGUCAACAGUGUUAUCGAAAUCCUUUCACAAACUGGGGUAUUUCAUUAUCAAUAAGUAAAUAAAAUCAUAGUUCUCUCAAAAUGAGCUCCUUCUAUUAUUUUUUUAAAAACGUUUAACAAUUUUAAAAGUGAAGAGUAAUUAAGCUUCAUAUGUUACCUUGCAUAAUGAUUAUGAUGAAAUAAUGGAGUUGCCAUAUAGUUAAACUAUACACCAAAUGAAAUAUUUUACACAUUAUUUACAUAUAAUUACAUUUAUUACACAAUAUACAAUACAUAUAUCAUCAUAUAUGGCAUAAAUAUUGGCAGUAAAAACAACCAUCCUGGAUUAUACUCAAUUAUCCAUACUUUCUGUGAAGACCUUCUAAUAGCAAAAUAUUUUAGAGCUAUGAUUUCUGAAGCACUAUGAAAUACGAAACAUAACAUUGAACUGAACCUAUUUUACAUUACUUUAAUUGUUUACAAUGGUCUUAAAUGGAAACUUACAGGAAGGUAAUGGUUAUGAACAGGUAUGAAAUUUUUUUUUUAUAAAAAUCCCAAUUAUAAAAGGACUGAACCUAUUAAGCAAUCCAUUUAGCCUUUCAAUUUGAUUCCAUUAGUAAUUAUAGUCACGCUAACGAUGAUAAUAUUAUAGCAAUGGACAGUAAAUGUGAUGUUUUUCUUCUUUAAAAGUCUAAAUAUGACUAAAUACUGAAAUUAAAUUAGAAAGAAUAGAAAAAAGUAAAAUCACAAAAUUCUUUAUCAUUAAUAUAAUAGUAAAAAUUUGUAGAUGUCAUAUUUCCAAAUAAAACUAAUUCUUUGAAUAUAUGUUUUUCUUAAUCUUAUUUAGAUAUUUCUUAUAAAACAGCUGACAUUCACCAUGUGUUCACAUAUAUACUAAACUGUUAUCACACAGUUGUUACACAUAAAAUGUAUAAAACAAGACAACACACAAAUAUUUGAUGUUUUUCUGUUUACAUAUAGGAUUGGUAGCUGCCUAUGUAAAUAAUACAUGUUUUCAUUAUAGGGAUAUAUAGGUAACUGAUAUGUUGGAAAUACACAAACUCUUUAAAAAGAUACUCAAUAUAUUGAUUAACUGUGUGAUCUGUAGUAAAAUAUUGGUCAUAAUUAAAAUGGAAUGUCUUGAAUAUAAUCCGAGCAAAUCCAGGCAUAUUUAUCAUACAUGUAUCUUUCUAAACGACUGAUUGCUUUCUGUUUAUUGAUACAGAUUCUAUCAUAUGGGAACUGGAAUUGAAAGUAAAUGAUUGGUAUGGGUCUUUAUUUCAAAUUUGUCAAAUUUUGAGCGAAAAUACAAUUUAUUUGUAGGACUUGUCUUUUAAAUGUAUUGUUUUUAAGUAUUUUGUAUCAUGAUAAACUAUCUUUUCCCAAAUACAAAUAUAUUUUAGAUUGACAUAAAAAAUUUAGAACUUUGAUUCAUAAGGAGAGAUUGAUAUUAAAUUUACUUAUUCCUAUUUUGUAAUGAAGAUAGAAAUCAAGAGCUAUAAUUUAAAUUUUUCUAGAAUUUUUACCUAAAGACAUUUUAGAGCUAUCUUCUUGUAUAAUAUUUGAAAACUCUGUCAUUUAGUUUUCUUUCUAGCAACAUGCCUUUUAUAUUUUACACCUGUUUCUUGAAAUCAAGAUGGAUGACCUAAACUUUAAUUUCUGAAAUAUAAUAUUAACAAUUUUGAGGCACAGUUAGAAAAAUGGUUAUUUUUUUUGUUUCUACCAACAUACUUCCUUUAUUCUGCUUUAUUAUGUUAUCAACAAAAAUUUUGUAUUAAAUUUUUUUUAAGGUAUAAUAUAUGACUGGAUUUACUCCCUUACAUAUAGGCUACUAACAUUCCAGAAAUCUUGAAUAGAGGUAGAAGUUAUUCUGGAAACAAAUUAUUGACAUAGUCCUCCUUUCUGAUUCUAUUUGUUCUUCAAUUUCAUAUUUUUCAAUUAAUGUCCAGUGCAAUAUACAUAAAAUACAAUCUCUGGCCCUCUAUAGAAGAUUUUUUGGAAAUAUCUGAGUUCUGAGGUAAAAAUAAUAAAAUAAUAAUCAAUAUUCAACUAUUUUCUUCUGUCUAGUUUAACAAAUGUCUAAAUAGUCUUCUUGUUGGGUUAUAUUUAUAAUUUCAUACAGAUUAGCCUUAUUUAUCUUGGGUUUUUUUUGUCCAUGCAACAAUAUGAGAUCACUUUAUAGGAAUGUUUGCUUGAAAAAUGCAGCUCUGUCUAUAGACUUUUAUAUGGGUAAAACAUUCAGUAUCUUAUCAAUUUUUUUAAAAUUUCACCUUCAACCAGUGAGCUUUCAACUGUGUGAUAGAACAAUAUCAUUACAUGCAACUUAAAGGAGCACAAAAAUGAAUCAAUUGGUUAAAAUUUCUGUUCUUUUCUGAGCAAUGCUGAUGUCUAUCAUUAUCAAACAAGUUUGGUGAAUCCUGUAAUUUUUCAAAUCUUCCUUCAAACAUUUACAGACAAAUAUUAGACUUACUGACUCUAGAUACAAGAAAAAAGUGUCACACACAUAUUUAAAAGACUAGAUGCUAUAAAAGUUAAAAGAUAUUUAAAAGGCACAUGUGUACAAUAAAAAUUUACAACCAUUUGCAGAAAAAACAACAAAUACUGCAUAGCACUAACUAAAGAUAUUAAAAGUGCAAUAAAUAAAACAACACAUCAAUAUAAAUGAGGCAAAUUUGAUAUAAACAGUUUUGCAACUGCCGACUCACAACCAUUAAUUCAAACUCAUGUUUUUGUAUUCAAGAAAAAAUAUGUUUUAUAGAAAAUUUCAAGUACAAGUACUCAACUGUUAAAUUUGGUAUCAAACAUUGAAAAAAAUAAC